rnacentral:rRNA from 1 species
ACGAACGCUGGCGGCGUGCCUAAUACAUGCAAGUUGAGCGCUGAAGGUUGGUACUUGUACCAACUGGAUGAGCAGCGAACGGGUGAGUAACGCGUGGGGAAUCUGCCUUUGAGCGGGGGACAACAUUUGGAAACGAAUGCUAAUACCGCAUAAAAACUUUAAACACAAGUUUUAAGUUUGAAAGAUGCAAUUGCAUCACUCAAAGAUGAUCCCGCGUUGUAUUAGCUAGUUGGUGAGGUAAAGGCCCACCAAGGCGGUGAUACAUAGCCGACCUGAGAGGGUGAUCGGCCACAUUGGGACUGAGACACGGCCCAAACUCCUACGGGAGGCAGCAGUAGGGAAUCUUCGGCAAUGGACGAAAGUCUGACCGAGCAACGCCGCGUGAGUGAAGAAGGUUUUCGGAUCGUAAAACUCUGUUGGUAGAGAAGAACGUUGGUGAGAGUGGAAAGCUCAUCAAGUGACGGUAACUACCCAGAAAGGGACGGCUAACUACGUG